rnacentral:lncRNA from 1 species
AUCCAUCAACAGGUCAUGCCAUUUUACACACAAUUCAUGGCUAACAGAAGCUAAGAUGAAAUACACAAUUUUGACCAAAAUGCUAGACUAGAGAUAUUCAGUUCCACAAUCUAUCUCAUAGUUUUCUUCUACUAUUUACAAAAUGGUCCACCUCUAGUAAGUCCAAACAAAAGUUUCCAUCUAUAGCUAGGAUGUCCAAAACACAUGGUCAUGAGCACUUUGAUCCAAUCAGUGGCUGCACUCUACUUCUUGCUAUUUCCUCCCACCACCUGUAAAGGAAAAGUUGAAAUUCAUAUGUUCAAUAUAUAAAUCAAAAGCUUACUAAGUCAUGCAGUAUGAAUUUACAAAAAUCCAAUCUUUGCCUCACAACAAUACAUUUGGUCCACUCUAGGGCUCAUUCUUUGAUAGUGCUCUGUGUUUGUGAACAUGUGCAAGCUAAGGCUGAUGGUUUUCUUCCUAGAGGUGUCAGUCUUCAUAGCUGCAUGACACCACAUGGGCUAGAUUGGACUGAAGUCCCACUUUUCACAUGACAAUGGUGGAGUGGUGACCGGCAGUGAGCCUGCUGCUGGCGCUGAUGAGAAAGAGUAGCUAGCUGGCUUACUGCAGCAACCUCUGAUCCUCCUCACGUGUGUAUACUAUGUACUCCACUAGUUUACAAGCUGUGUUGUGUAGAAGUAGAAGACAGAAUAAAAUCUUUGUUGAAAGAGAGGCAGAAUGAAACAUACAUUACAGUCUCUAUUCAUCUUGGGUCAUCAACUCUGUAGUCUAUAGAAUUUACUAGUCACUAUUGUGCAUAACCAUAACGUACAGAAGCAAGCAAUAGCAUGGGAACAAAUGACAGGCUACAACUAGUUUCUAAACUUAUUUGCUACUACAUAAUAGAAAUAUAUUGUGAACAUUUAAUAUCAGCACAGCCACAAUGUACUUGAGAAUAUUUUAAAAUCGGCAGUCACAAUAUACUUGAAUGAGAAUAGUGCACAAGUAAAUUUGCACUUCUAAGAAAAUAUCUGAAUUCACUACUUGAUUACAUAAUCAGCUAGCUGAGAACACAAUCAGCACUCCCUAACUUUAAUAUACAUAGGUUCUAAUAACUCAUAUCUGACAGCGUAAUACAUAAAGUGCAGCAAGUUGUAUGAUAUCCUAAAUGACAUGUAGAUGGGAAAAAAUUCAGAAUAGCACACCUGUUCCAUGGAAAAAAUUCAGAAUAGCACACCUGUUAUAUGAUAUCCUAAAUGACAUGUAGAUGGGAAAAAAAAUUCAGAAUGCACACCUGCUCCAAAAAGACAAAUAAAUUGGUGUGUUCCCAUAUGUAUGUAUAAUUAGAAAUUAACAUCUUCAGAUCUGACAAUUCACACAUGAAGGGAGGUGUCAUACCUUGCUGCCCUGAAUGGAGUAGCCUUCGAACCUUUGCCUUGCUGGUGCCUGUGCUACAGAGGAAAGCCUGAAAAGGACAAAUAAUAGGUCAGUCCAGGAUCUAUAUAUGAAUAAGCAGCAGAUCAAUACGACAGAAUGGGGAAUGAAUGAAGAACCAGCAGCUAGACAAAAACCUAUAGAUGGUGCAGCUUUUAUCAUGGCAGAGUCCAAGGAGCACCUUCUUCUUGUACACCUCAGUCAACCAUGACCACAACCUGCUGUUCCAAUAGAGCAAAUUACAGAUCCGUGAUUCAGUUAGUAAAAUAGAGGAACCAGAGAGGAUUGGGCACCGUACGGGAAGGAGAGGAGAAACUCGGAGGAAGUGGGAGCGCUGUCCAGGAAGGGGGCCUAGGUCACUUAUGGGGGGAGGGGGGGGGGCAGAGGAAGGGGCGAGCUGAGGUCACCGGCAUCGUCAGAGCUCGCCGGCGGGAAGAACCAAGCCCAGGUCGCCA